rnacentral:rRNA from 1 species
UACGUAGGGGGCGAGCGUUGUCCGGAUUUAUUGGGCGUAAAGAGCUCGUAGGCGGUUUGUCGCGUCUGCUGUGAAAACUCAGGGCUUAACUCUGAGCUUGCAGUGGGUACGGGCAGACUAGAGUGCGGUAGGGGAGACUGGAAUUCCUGGUGUAGCGGUGAAAUGCGCAGAUAUCAGGAAGAACACCUAUGGCGAAGGCAGCUCUCUAGGACGGUACUGACGCUGAGACGCGAAAGCGUGGGGAGCGAACAGG